GAAUAUAACCUUACCUAGUUUAAAUUAUUUGAAAUUUAUCACUAUAAACUAUACAGUGUUAACUUUCUAAUAAUUUAAUUUUUAACCGUAGUAACGUUAAUUAGUUUGUUUGAAUGCCUGCUGCUCGAGCUUGAUGAUGCUCAUGCUAUCCAUGCUGUGAACUUGAAUAUAAACCGAUAGAACGUUAAAUAUAAAGUUUAACGUUAAUUAGACCGAGGCUGCCGAAAUCAUGUUCAGUGUAACGUUAUGUGGGAUUAAUAAUUUCCCCUUUUCUCCCUCAAGUGGCAGGCUUGUAAAUUCUGUCAUCUGUUCAUUAUUGGUGUUGAUGGUGUUUUUCACAUGCAUGCUUUUUAAUGCUAGUUUAAUUCUCAAAUUGAUCUGAUACUUUCGUUCCACAAAAAGUAAACACAUUUUUCACUUUCUUAGGGCCUGACAACCACCAGUUGAGUCCAUGAUUCAGGGAAGAGACAGUCUGGGCAGCAGCAACAAGACAACUAUUACAAGUAGAGAUGGGUUUCAAGAACUGGUACUAAUUUGGUUCCUGACUUGUUCAGUACUGAAAACAUUUACAUAAGACACAACCACAUAUCCUCCAAAUCAUCUCUGCGUGGAUGGCAGCAAGGAUCCAGGAUCAAGAGAUCAUUCUUCAUGGAGACUUCCACAGGAAGCAGUUUCUCCUGGGUGAAAAACUAAACCUGGUUGUUUCAGCAUC